GGUUUAAUUCGAUGAUACGCGAGGAACCUUACCCGGGCUUGAAUUGCAGAGGAAGGAUUUGGAGACAAUGACGCCCUUCGGGGUCUCUGUGAAGGUGCUGCAUGGUUGUCGUCAGCUCGUGCCGUGAGGUGUCGGCUUAAGUGCCAUAACGAGCGCAACCCCUCUCCUUAGUUGCCAUCAGGUCAAGCUGGGCACUCUGGGGACACUGCCACCGUAAGGUGUGA
rnacentral:rRNA from 1 species